rnacentral:lncRNA from 1 species
AGCAGGAGCUCGACAAUGCCCUCAGGGAUAAUAACUCCACUACCAAAUCCCUGUAGAGGAGUUUUUACUGCUUUGAGCUAUUUGGGAGAGAUCCCCAUUUUGGUGAAAGCCUCCUGCGAGAGUAUAUUUGCUACACUCCCAUUAUCAACCAGAAUCCUCUUUACUUCGAAGUUAGCCACAACCGCAGACACGACCAAGGCAUCGUCAUGAGGAUGUGAUAUUCCUUCCAAAUCUCUUGCUCCAAAGGUGAUGUCUUUGACUUCAUCACGGGAUUCCCUAGAGGUAUAAGCAUGUUGGCGGGCAUACUGCUUUUGCCCACUAUUUGUGUCUCCUCCAGAUGCUAUGCCCCCAACGAUAAUAUUAAUAAUCGCGGCAGUGGGUUGAGCACUACUUCCAGCUCCAGGCUCUUUCUGAUUGUCACGGUCAUUACUCAGGCGUUUAUCAUGAUCAAUGUAAUUCCUUAAGAGUCCUCUUUUAAUGAGAGCUUCGAUUUCCCGCUGCAAAGCUUGACAAUCCUCCGUGGUAUGCCCAUGAUCUCGGUGAAAUUCACAAUACUUGUUCCUAUCUCUCAUGUCAGGGGGCGACUUCAUUCUUGAAGUCCACUUUAAUUCUUUCAUAUCUUUGAUCUCCAUUAAGAUGUUUGCCAUGGAGGUGUUUAAUCGGGUGAGGGGCCCUGCUGGACCUUCAUUCUUGCAUUUUUCCCGAGCAUACUCUGGCCGAGAGACCGGAUCAUGUUGUUUCCUAUUCUCGACCUUUUCAUGGGAAGGACCAGGUUUCCUUGG